AUAUAUAUAUAUAUAUAUAUAUAUGUCACAAGGUGAUGAUCUUUAGGGGCGGAACCAAAAUUCGGGAAGUUUGGUUCCGCCCGGAAGUGUUUCCGCCCGGACCGGAAAAACAGAACACCGGAACUUCCGGUAGCGCCGUAAGAGGGAAAAUCAGGGAAUUCGAUGCACCUGUGCCUAGUUAGGGACAGCGGUUGGUGAUUGGAGGAUACGCUGGACAAGGCAGUACUUAAGGCCAAGUUAUUUCACAGUCUGGGAGCUCUUUCUGGUGUGUGUGAAGCACUGUGUCGUGCCCGUCUUGGUGCGCUGCUGGUGGCUGUCUAACUCUCUCUCUCCCUCAGGCUGGAAUUGUAUGAUUGUGAAGACAUCGCGAACCUUAAAGGUUGAGAAGUGAACGGAUUAUUCGGCGAAUUGAGACGACGUGAAAAAGGGGAUUGGAAGCGGCAUUGAUGUGAGUACUAAGAGCAAGCCGAAAGUGCCCUGUAUAUUGACCUGGCGUUGUGUAGAUCUCCCCAGGAGGAGGAGGGCGGCCCUACCCCUAAUAUAGCGUGGUGGGAGAGCCGAAGGAAUACUUAUUGAAGUAGUCACAACGAUGACAUCACUAGCUAGGCCGCAUAUUCCAUCGCCAGAUCCGAACCAAGCGAAGUGAAGGAAGACGGGUGUCCUUUUCGUACACUGAGUGUGGUGGGUGAGUCUUCGUGCUGUGAACACCUAUAAUUUUGACGUGGUGCUGUAUAUUGCUGUGGGUUGCUGUGUAUUGCCGUGUGUCCUGUCAGAUAAACCCCCGCCUUCACGCACUCCGUCGCGGGAGGAUAAGGAGACUGCUGGUUCUAGCCUAGUUCAGUACAGUAUAUGUUGUGAGCGUGCUUCAGAUCUCCGGAGAUAGCACAGUACGCUGUGUUCAGCCCAGAGGUGAGAGCCAUUCAAAGCAAACUAACUGUGCUUUGUGUCCAAUCUGAUACCUGCGGAGAGAAAAGGAAAGAGAGAGUGAGUAACACAAGGAGAAACAGAGGAAACCUGUACUUACAGUACGCUGUGUUCAGCCCAGAGGUGAGAGUCAUUCAAAGCAAACUAACUGUGCUAUUGUGCCCAAGUUGAUACCUGUGGAGAGAAAAGGAGAGAGAGUGAAUAACACGAGGAGGAAUAGAGCGAACCCUGUACUUACAGUACGUUGUGUCCAGCCCAGAGGUGAAAGCCAUCCAAAGCAGAGUAACUGUGUUUUGUGUCCAAGUUGACACCUGUAGAGAGGAGGAGAGAGAGUGGAUAACGCGAGGAGAAAUAGAGCGAAACCUGUACUUACAGUACGCUGUGUCCAGCCCAGAGGUGAGAGCCAUUCAAAGCAAACUAACUGUGCUAUUGUGCCCAAGUUGAUACCUGUGGAGAGAAAAGGAGAGAGAGUGGGUAACACGAGGAGAGACCGAGGAAACCUGUACUUACGUCGCUGCCUGUGGAGAAAGAGAAAGCGAGUGAGCACCCAAGGAACGAACUGUGUGAACCAGUACUUACUGUGAGCUGCAAUCAGCGAAGAGGUGAGAGCAAAACCAAGCCGAAUUAACUGUGCCUUUGCGUCCCAGCCGUUGCCUGUGGAGGAAGAGAAAGAGAGUGAGCACCCCGAGAACGAACUGUGUGAACCAGUACUUACCGUGAGUUGUAUUCAGCGAAGAGGAGGAAGAAGGAGGGCGCUACGGAUACCUAAGACUCUGGCCGGGCCCCGAGCCCCACGCCCCGGAUCCCCGUGGCCCCCUUGCUCCCUGACCUCUUCCCGGCCAUAGCCCAUCUGGAGGGCCGAGUCAGAGUUUAGUUUUAAUUGCCCUUUCCCUAUUCCCCAAGCUAUUUUUAAAUAUUUAAAUAAAGAUUGUUUUAUCACUUA